GACGAAACGCAACAACAAAAUGGAC
rnacentral:rasiRNA from 1 species